CAUCCAUCCAUCCAUCAUCCAUCCAUCCAUCAUCCAUCCAUCCAUCAUCCAUCCAUCCAUCAUCCAUCCAUCCAUCAUCCAUCCAUCCAUCAUCCAUCCAUCCAUCAUCCAUCCCUCCAUCCCACAGCUGGCUCAGGCACCCGUGGCUGGUGUCCCUGUCCCCUCCCGGUGCUCUCUCUGUCACAGAGGGACAAACCCCUCCCAGGUGUCCCUGAGAGCCUCUCCCGGUGCCCGGGGCAGCCGCAGCGCUCGGGGCCGGGGCUGCGCUGCCUUUUGUGGCGCUCGGGCCCCGGUGAUUGGGCGCUAUUUUGCUCCGGCUCCCUCCGGCAGCUGUUGCUGUUCUUUACCCGGGAGAGCCGGGGCCGCCCGGGGCUGCAGCCGAGGAGGAGGCGGCGGCCGACCCCAGAUGCCAAGGCUCUGGUGAGCAGCAACAGCCACGGGGAGAGCGUGGAGCCCAUGGAAUAGAGCAGUGUCCCUGUCCCACAGGGAACAGAGCAGUGUCCCUGUCCCGCAGGGAAUAGAGCAGUGUCCCUGUCCCACAGGGAACAGAGCAGUGUCCCUGUCCCACAGGGAACAGAGCAGUGUCCCUGUCCCGCAGGGAAUAGAGCAGUGUCCCUGUCCCGCAGGGAAUAGAGCAGUGUCCCUGUCCCACAGGGAACAGAGCAGUGUCCCUGUCCCACAGGGAACAGAGCAGUGUCCCUGUCCCACAGGGAACAGA
rnacentral:lncRNA from 1 species